AACCUGGUUGAUCCUGCCAGUAGCAUAUGCUUAUCUUGGAGAUUAAGCCAUGCAUGUCUGAGUAUAAGUUAAAUACGGCGAAACUGCGAAUGGCUCAUUAAAACAGUUAUAGUAUACUUGAUGAUGUUUUUUAUAUGGAUAACCGUUGGGAAACCAGAGCUAAUACAUGCACCAAAAGCCUUCGGGCUGUAUUUAUUAGUUAUUGACCAACACCUUCGGGUUUUGUGAUGAUUCAUAAUAACUGAUCGAAGCGUAUUUGUAUACGCUAAAUCUUUCUAGUUUCUGCUCUAUCAGCUUGAUGGUAGUGUAUUGGACUACCAUGGCUUUCACGGGUAACGGAGAAUUAGGGUUCGAUUCCGGAGAGGGAGCCUGAGAAACGGCUACCACAUCUACGGUAGGCAGCAGGCGCGUAAAUUACCCAAUCUUGACUUAGGGAGGUAGUUACAAGAAAUAUAGUAAUUGCUUUUGCAAUGUCUAAAUGAUCUUAACAUAAACCGUUUUUUGAAUGCGAUUGGAGGGCAAGUCUGGUGCCAGCAGCCGCGGUAAUUCCAGCUCCAAUAGUGUAUCUUAAUGUUGUUGCUGUUAAAAAGCUCGUAGUUGAAUUUCUGGCAUCCUAGCUUGGCUCCGGCUCGGCAGGGAUGUCAUCCGCUCUGAAAGCUUGUACGCCUAACAGCUGCAGGUCGAAGGAGUAUUUUACUUUGAAGAAAUUAGAGUGUUCCAGGCAAGCAAUGCUUGAAUAUUACAGCAUGGAAUAAUGGAAUAGGACUAUGCAUUUCGUUGGUUAAUGCAUUAGUAAUGAUUAACAGGGACAGUUGGGGGCAUUCGUACUGGGCAGUUAGUGGUAAAAUACGUUGACCUGCUCAAGACGCACUAAUGCGAAAGCAUUUGCCAAGGAUGUUUUCAUUAAUCAAGAACGAAAGUUAGGGGAUCAAAGACGAUUAGAUACCGUUGUAGUCCUAACUAUAAACUAUACCGACUAGGGAUUGGCAGGGGGAUGUCCCCUGUCAGCACCUAAUGAGAAAUCAAAGUCUUUGGGUUCAGGGGGGAGUAUGGUCGCAAGGCUGAAACUUAAAGGAAUUGACGGAAGGGCACCACCAGGAGUGGAGCCUGCGGCUUAAUUUGACUCAACGCGGGGAAACUUACCAGGGCCAGACCUUAGUAUGAUUGACAGAUUGAUAGCUUUUUCUUGAUUUGAGGGAAGGUGGUGCAUGGCCGUUCUUAGUUGGUGGAGUGAUUUGUCAGGUUAAUUCCCUUAACAAACGAGACCUUAACCUGCUAAAUAGUCGCCCUACUUUAGUGGGGUUGGCUUCUUAGAGGGACUAUGUACUUAAAUACAUGGAAGUUUGAGGCAAUAACAGGUCCGUGAUGCCCUUAGACGUCCUGGGCCGCACGUGUGCUACACUGACUCGCGCAACGAGUGCUUACCUGAUCCGAAAGGCAAUUGGGAAACCUUGUUAAUACGAGUCGUGCUAGGGAUUGAUCUUUGCAAUUAUGGAUCAUGAACGAGGAAUUCCUAGUAAGCAUAAGUCAUCAUCUUGUGCUGAUUACGUCCCUGCCCUUUGUACACACCGCCCGUCGCUCCUACCGAUUGAGUGGUCCGGUGAACUUUUUGGACGUUGGCUCUAGCUAAGCGGAAGCUAAGUAAACCUUAUCACUUAGAGGAAGGAAAAGUCGUAACAAGGUUUCCGUAGGUGAACCUGCAGAAGGAUCA
rnacentral:rRNA from 1 species